GAACAUUUGAAUCUAUGGGCAGGUACAGCAGGGGAAACAGUGACCAGGUUCUGCAGAGAGCAGGAUAGAGUGCUGAUGACAGUGGGGAAGAGGCAGUUAGUGCCUCCCAUAGAAAAUGGCUUGGCAAGAGUGCAGGUGGCAGGUGAAGCAGAACCAUUUGUGUCGAAGGCAGCAUGAAGAGCAGUGGGCCAGCUAUCCAGGUCUGGGCAAAAUAGCAAGAAUGCAGGCAUAUGAGUUGAAGAAGGAAGAGGAAGAAGAUGAAUAUGCAUGGGCUAUCUCUGCUCUUCUCUCGGAAUCCUCUCACAGUAAAGGAAGAGAUAAAUAAGGAGGGACAGUGACAAGUGUUCGGGCAGUGAUACGUGUUAGCAUCAUCAUUGAGUCUAGUGCCUGUGGACUUGUAACUCCACUGAAAAACAAAGUCAUAUUGAGUUUAUGGGUCUUAAUUCACCCAGCUUGAUAAUGGUAAAAGCUUUGGGGAUUGGAUUGAAUCUUUCCUUGUGACUUUAAGGAACACUCAAAAGAGAUUUCCCUCUAUCUUUCUCAUGCAUGCAAGAUUUGGGAUGCUCUAUCCAACUAUAGGUUAAGAAAUGCAGCAUCUUGACACCUCCAACCCAAAGCCAAGAUUGCUGUUUCUUUCAGACAGGCCCCCCAAAAGCAUUGGACAAAAUUUGACUAAAUGCUUUAUAGACCUUCCCCUUUGACUAAGAAAAAAAAAACAUUGGUGAUUGCUUCUAUUCCAUAGAUGGAAAACCAAGAAAGAGACUUAUACUUUAUUCCUCAUGGUAUAGCAUUAUAUCCUUAGUGGGUGAGGCCCUUGUUUACCCUGAGGUGGUAGGCUAUUCAUGGCUAACCAGUGUAUCACUGGUACAACUAAGAUGAUUAGAUAUUACAAGUGGAAGCCUGAAGGGAUCUUCCCUGAACUGAUAUUCAACCCAUAAAUCACACCACUGCUCAUAUAGAGCAACUGCUCAUGAUAACAAGAUAACACCCAGAUCCUACUAGUUAAGAUGCCUGGCACUCAUGAUCUGGGGAAGAAUAUGAAAAGGAUGCUCCUACUGCAGAUGACUGAAACACAUACAGACUGUAAGUCAAUGAAACAGUGUGCUGCUUCUCCUCUGAUAGGCUGCUUCUUAAUUAAUCCACCCAUCAAUCAAGAGUAACGUACCAAGUGAUGGGCCUCACUUUGGAACUCUGCCGUGGAGGCUCCAAAUACUUGUAUUGUGUGGAUUUAUGUCUGGAGACCUCAUUAUAUCAAACAAAACUCUAACUCCAGAAACCAGAAAUGUGUAUAAAGGGAGACCUUGAAAACC
ensembl:antisense 1700080N15Rik RIKEN cDNA 1700080N15 gene